UCCUCAGUAGCUCAGUGGUAGAGCGAUCGGCUGUUAACCGACGGGUCGUAGGUUCAAAUCCUACUUGGGGAGA
rnacentral:tRNA from 3 species